rnacentral:rRNA from 1 species
GUGGGGAAUAUUGGACAAUGGGCGCAAGCCUGAUCCAGCCAUGCCGCGUGUGUGAAGAAGGCCUUCGGGUUGUAAAGCACUUUNAGUUNGGAGGAAGGGCAGUNGAUUAAUACUCUGCUGUUUUGACGUUACCCACAGAAUAAGCACCGGCUAACUCCGUGCCAGCAGCCGCGGUAAUACGAAGGGUGCAAGCGUUAAUCGGAAUUACUGGGCGUAAAGCGCGCGUAGGUGGUUUGUUAAGUCGGAUGUGAAAUCCCCGGGCUCAACCUGGGAACUGCAUUCGAAACUGGCNAGCUAGAGUNUGGUAGAGGGUGGUGGAAUUNCNGGUGUAGCGGUGAAAUGCGUANA